ensembl:misc_RNA Y_RNA Y RNA
GGCUGGUCUGAGUGAAGCUGUGUUUGCAACUAAUUGAUCACAACAAUCGAUUACAACUAAUUGAUCACAGAUUUCUUUGUUCUUUAUCCCUCCUGCUUCACUGGACUAGCCUUUU